rnacentral:rRNA from 1 species
CGACGCAACGCGAAGAACCUUACCAAGGCUUGACAUAUACAGGAAUAUGGCAGAGAUGUCAUAGCCGCAAGGUCUGUAUACAGGUGGUGCAUGGUUGUCGUCAGCUCGUGUCGUGAGAUGUUGGGUUAAGUCCCGCAACGAGCGCAACCCUCGUUCUGUGUUGCCAGCAUUUAGUUGGGGACUCACAGGAGACUGCCGGGGUUAACUCGGAGGAAGGUGGGGAUGACGUCAAAUCAUCAUGCCCCUUAUGUCUUGGGCUGCACGCAUGCUACAAUGGCUGGUACAAACGGCUGCGAUACCGCAAGGUGGAGCGAAUCCGAUAAAGCCAGUCUCAGUUCGGAUUGGGGUCUGCAACUCGACCCCAUGAAGUCGGAGUUGCUAGUAAUCGUAGAUCAGCAACGCUACGGUGAAUACGUUCCCGGGGCUUGUACACACCGCCCGUCACAUCACGAAAGUCGGUAACACCCAAAGUCAGU